CCAAAAGUCUAAUUCCUCAUUUUAAGUUUUAACUCCUCACUCCCCUCCACUCCACUGAAGAACAAAAUCAAGCAAUGGGCGACCGCGGCAGAGAUGAGAGAGACAGAGACCGCGACCACCGUGACCGCGGCCGUGAGGAGAGAGAAAGAGACCGUGACCGAGACCGGAGGAGAGAGAUAGACGACCGAGAUCGCCACCGAGACCGCCGCUCUCCCCACGCCCGCUCCCGCCACGCCCGCUCUCGCUCCCGCUCACCUGACCGUCGGCGCCGGUCAAGGUCAGAGUCCGAAUCACGCUCCCGUUCACGGUCUCACUCCGUUGACCGGUCUCGCCGUCACCACCACCAAUCACGAAGGAGAGAAAGAGACGACCACGACGACAACGACCGCACUGUUGUCUCCGAUUUCGUUGACGGAAUCGCCAAGGAGCAGAAGAAGAAGAAAUCGGAUCGAAGAGACGAGAGAGAGAAGAGUAACAACAAUGAAAAUGGUAACAUUGGAGAGGAAGGUGGUGCUGAAGAUGAUGAAAUUGAAAUGAUGAAGAAAUUAGGGAUUCCGGUUGGGUUUGAUUCUACGAAAGGAAAGCCAGUUGCUGGUGCUGAUGUUAGUGGUGUUAGAGCUGUUACUAAGCGUCAGCCGAGACAGUAUAUGAAUCGUCGAGGGGGCUUUAAUCGUCCUUUGCCUGCUGAGCGGAAUCGUUAGGGAUGGUUUUUCUAGGGUUUACUUCACUUCUCAAGGUGGUAAUUUUUGGACGAUUAUAUUGUCGGGUCCUUCCGAGAGUCUUUCAUGGACCAGGGGAGGGUCUUCAGUCUUCACCCUUCACCAAUGGGUUUGCAUAUGCAAGCCUAAUCUACUAGUCGAAUAUUCGUGUGUGACUACUUUUCUUCUUUAUGGUCUUUGCGUGCAUGGCGAAGUAGUUAUAAAGUAUAGUGUGGUAUUCCUACUAGUGAUAUGGUCAAGGGUUCAGUGAGAGGAGAAGAGACACUUAGCCGGGUUGCGAUUAAGUUGUAAACCUAUGGAGGUAGGACCAGCGUUCAAGAGUUUGGUGUUCAGAAACAUCUCUUUGGCAGUGAAACGGUUAGCCCAUAUGACGGGGAAAAGGUAUGGUUAUGAAAUAACUAAAGGGAUGCACUAACUAGCUGGUAUUCAUGCCUUCUUUUCCAAGAUGUGUAAGUUUACCUUGCACUCUCACAGGUAUCUCAUCUAAUAUUGCCCCCUUUGUCCAGGUGGUAAAUCAGUUUCAAAUAUAAUGUGGUAUUCCAAGGGUUCAGGGAGAGGAGAAGAGACACUUAGGCUUUUCGUGAUUAAGUUGUAAUCCUAUGGAGGUAGGACCAGUGUUCAAGAGUUUGGUGUUCAUCUGCUUGAUAGUUAAACAGUCACGGUAUUUAUCUUUGGGGUAUAACUCUUGCGGCCCAUUAUGACGGGAAAAGGUAUGGUUAUGAAAUAACUAAUGGGACGCGCUUACUAGUUGGUACUCGUGCCUCUUUUCCAGCAUGUGUAAGUUUACCUUGCACUCUCACUCUCUCAGAGUUAUUCAGAUUUAAUGAAGCUUCUGUAGCUUGUCUUGUGCAUAUGUAAAUUUUUUUUGAAGAGCACUUCAGCAUGAACGAACUUUCAAAACUUGUGCAUGAUUCCUGACAAAAGCAACUAGCACUGAAGCAAAUAUUCAUCCGAAUUUUCAACACUGAAGUUCAAUUCUUAUAUGUCGAGAGAACCACCAUGGAAGAAGUAUUUGUAGUUCUCUAGUAAGCUGUGAUAACUGAGGUUAACACCGAUGUAAUCCUAGUCUAGCCUCGUUGCUUUAUCAUGCGAUGUUCCAACUCUCAAGCUUGUUUUACAAAUGUAUGUCAUUUUUUGGUCUCUAUACCUACUGGAGCAUUUUGGUUUGA